GCAACAGCAACAGAAACAGCAACAGAAACAGCAACAGCAACAGCAACAGCAGCUGACACAACAACCGUCUACUUCUUCAUCUUUCGCUAGUAACACUCUAAAAUUUAUUCGACUGUCGGAAAAUGGAUUUCCACCCGAACGUUGUUCACCAUUAGCUGCGGGCUUUGAUUUAAGAAGUGGAGAAAAUGUAGUUAUAAAAAAAUGGGAUCGUAAAUUAGUAAAAACAAAUAUUGCGAUAGUAUUACCAGACGAGUGUUAUGGUCGAAUAGCGCCGAGAUCAGGUCUAUCUUUAAAAAACGGUAUACAUGUAGGUGCUGGAGUUAUUGAUCCAGAUUAUAGAGGAAACGUAGGAAUAGUGCUGUUCAAUUUAUCAAACGAUAAUUUCAGUGUAGAAAUUGGUGAUAGAAUAGCUCAAUUAAUUUGCGAGCGAAUAGUUUGGCCUGAUAUUGAGGAGGUUAC